GCCACAGCUCGCAUUGAUGUGCCAUCCUGGAUGAGCUGCACUACCUGAGUCACUUGUGUGGGUUGUAGACUCCAUCUCAUGCUACCACUAGAGUGAAAGCACCGCCAGCAUUCAAAAGUGACCAAAACAUCAGCCAGGAAGCAUAGGAACUGAGAAGUGGUCUGUGGUCACCACCUGCAGAACCACUCCUUUAUUGGGGUGUCUUGCUAAUUGCCUAUAAUUUCCACCUGUUGUCUAU
rnacentral:lncRNA from 1 species